GCUAUAAUAGUGUAAAAUGACUAGAGGAAUGAGCAGUGUGGACACAGUGACUUUAAUUUGUAAACCAUUAGAAUGUCAGGAGUGGAGACUGAGAGAAACAGAUACCUGUGAGAAUUAUUUAGCAAGUAAAAUCCACAAAAUUCUGGCAACACAUUAUAUAUGACAGGAAUGAGGGACAGA